ACAAACUUGGUCAUUUAGAGGAAGUAAAAGUCGUAACAAGGUUUCCGUAGGUGAACCUGCGGAAGGAUCAUUAAAAAGUUUUUAAGUCUUUUGACUUAAUCUCUUCAAACCCUUUGAUUAAUUAUAUCUCGCGUUGCUUUGGCUUAGAUUUCUAAGUCAUAAGCCUUAAUAAACUCUUUUUAAUUUUGAAUUAUUGUCUGAAAAAUCAUUAAAUUUUUAACUAAAACUUUCAACAAUGGAUCUCUUGGUUCUGGCAUCGAUGAAGAACGCAGC
rnacentral:misc_RNA from 1 species